UAGCUUACCCUUACGUGUUGCCUUGAUGAUUU
rnacentral:scRNA from 1 species